ACCUGGGGUAGCGCAGCUGGUACAGCACGAGACUCUUAAUCUCAGGGUUGUGGGUUCAAGCCCCACAGCGGGCA